GAGUUUGAUCUUGGCUCAGAACGAACGCUGGCGGCGUGCUUAACACAUGCAAGUCGAACGUGAUCCAGAGCUUGCUCUGGUGAAAGUGGCGCACGGGUGAGUAACGCGUGGAUAACCUGCCCUGGUACCUGGGAUAACAUCUCGAAAGGGGUGCUAAUACCGGAUAAGCCUACGGGAUCUUCGGAUUCUGCAGGAAAAGGAGGCCUCUAUUUAUAAGCUUCCGUAUCAUGAUGGGUCCGCGUACCAUUAGCUAGUUGGUGGGGUAAUGGCCUACCAAGGCGACGAUGGUUAGCUGGUCUGAGAGGAUGAUCAGCCACACUGGAACUGAGACACGGUCCAGACUCCUACGGGAGGCAGCAGUGGGGAAUUUUGCGCAAUGGGGGAAACCCUGACGCAGCAACGCCGCGUGAGUGAUGAAGGCUUUCGGGUCGUAAAGCUCUGUCAGAGGGGAAGAAAUGGAAACGGUUAAUACCCGUUUUUCUUGACGGUACCCUCAAAGGAAGCACCGGCUAACUCCGUGCCAGCAGCCGCGGUAAUAC
rnacentral:rRNA from 1 species